rnacentral:lncRNA from 1 species
GGAUGGCAUCACCAACUCAAUGGACAUGAAUUUGAGUAAACUCCAGGAGUGGUGAUGAACAGAUGUUCUGGUUAAAGAAGUCACACCCUUUCUAAGUGUCCAUGGGGUCGCAAAGAGUCAGACAUGACUGAGCAACUGAACCGGACUGUGGGGUUCUUGCUGAAGCUGUCGGAGCCUGGAAGGCACCCAUGUGCUGGAGUCUCUGGGGCAGGAAACUGAGGCCCAGAGAUGAGGCGGGCCUGGCCCAGGGCACUUCCAACUGUUCAGACCUGCGAGGAGUUCGGACCUCCCAUCCGUGGUUCUGUUUCAAAGCCUUCGGCUGUCACUGCAGGAUUAUCACAGGUGAAGACAGGCUGCUACCACCAGCCCAGGUUCCUGGUGCUCUGAUCUCGGGGCUGCCAGACCCCGCCACCUCAUGCCCCAGGCCCCACCCCUCGUGUCCAGGCUCCGCCCCCUCAUGCCCCUCUCUCCCCAACUGAAGAGUCUGAUCAGACUGAAAGGUCUCUGUCUCCCUCUCAUCCCUUCCCUUCUGGUUCCCCUCUUCCGAGUCUGGAGACCAAGGGCAUGGAGAAGGAGCUGUUGCUCUCAAAAAGGGGCUUUGACAAUCCUGCUCCUCCCAUAGGCGGUCAGAGAAAGGUGGGCCUGACUCUUCAGAAGGGCUUUGAGGAAACUCUCCUGAGGGAGGCACGAUGGCAGGGGCAGGGCCAGGCUGGAAGGAGGGUAGUGUCCUCCCAAGACCUCUCCAGGGCCCGCUGUUCAUCCAGGCAGGCACCCGUGGCCCUUCCCUCUGGCCCAAGGAGGUCCAUUUAUAAGAAGGAUGUGGGGACUGGGCCCUCCCUGGGGAAAGGAUGAAAUCUGGGAGAGAGAGAACACCGAGCAGCUGAGGUCAUGAAAAGCCCAGACCGCGUCCACCCAAAGUCCAGAGAUGCCUACAGAGGGCUACUUGGGAUCUUCAUCCUCCUGGGUAAGUGUGGAAGUGCUGCCUGGGGUGAAGUGGGGGUGCAGGACCUCAGAGACCCCCAGGGAGUCACCUGGAGUCACUGCAGCUUCCUAUCCCCGCACCCACCGGUGUCACCGGGUUGGCACAGGACUGUGGGGAAAGGCAGGCCCUUCGUGUUUUGAGAGAUUAUGCGAAAGCAGCCAGUAGUCAAGUUACAGAUGUGAGAGUUGGACCAUAAAGAAGGCUGAGCGCCGAAGAAUUGA